CUGAAGACUUGAUCUUGAACUUCACCAUCUC
rnacentral:piRNA from 1 species